CUUCGUAAGGGCAAUGACAUAUAUGAAAAUACUGGGAAAGGUCUAAGUGUAACAAGAGACAUGAAAAUGUAAAUUCUAGACAAGCUGGCACAAGAAAUGUUUGCCCUGAAAGCCUACCCUGACAAACAUCAAAUUGAAUCUGUUGCUUUUGAACUUGUCAGUAAAUAUCCAUGCCUUAAGGAGCCUGGUAGUGGCACAGGAUACGACGGCUGGACAACAAGCAUAAAGUAUAAGUUUGGAAACUACCGAUCAAAGCUGCGCCAGGCUGGCUGUAAUGAGGUCAGUGUAAACAGGAAAAGAGGGAGGGAUGAAGAUGUUGAUGAGGGUAGGUUUUCCUUGAAAAAAACAAAGUGAGGUGAAGUCAAUCAUGUGCCGGAUCAUCCGGAAAACUAUGAUGAUGAUGCACUCGAAGACCAAAGAUGUGUCCUGGUGGAUGAAAUGAAAAAUACAGGAAAGACAUGGAACUCAUCGGACAGAAGAUGAACCUCACAUUCUCUCUCAGGAGAAAGGAGAUUGUCGAGCUAGAGCCCAUGGUCACGGAAAUCCACGAGAAAUAGCCUGCUCUGUUUCUUGAAAAACAGGCAAGACAGAUUUUCUUUAAAUAUAUUGUAAUAUUAAGUAAUGUUUAUUUUUGAGUGCUUUUCAAAGCAAGGAUGACCACAGUGUCUUCCAUUGGAUUAUUCAGAGUGCUACUGUGUAAGCAAUAGUUUUGUGACAUCAAAAGUUUUGGUUCUUUUUGACAUUUUCAUACUCACCAUGUAGAUCAGAUUAACAUCAUUGAAGAACCUGUUGGGGACCUUUCGAGCAGCCUUAGACAAGUACUGUCCUCGACUGCUUAAACUCUAUCGUGCCAGGAAAGGAGCCUUUGGACAAGACAUGGAAAGCCUCUUGGAUAGGCUUGAUGAACAGGACACUGAUCCAGAUGAUAGGCAGACCGUAGGUGCCAAGAUGGGUAUCCUCACUGUCCUCGUAGAUGAUGAUGCACCUACCAUGUUUCCGACAGUCAACAGUAUUGCUGUUUGUAAAAUAGGCGUUGGUGUAAUGGAUACCAAACUUGUGACCUUAGUGAUGCUGAGUGAAUGAACCCUUAGAUGAUGGUUCUAUGAAUGUCAUUUACAAUCUCCACAGGUUGUCCGGUAAGAACAUGAAUAUGAUGA